GAAUGCUGACAUAAGUAACGAUAAAGCGGGUGAAAAGCCCGCUCGCCGGAAGACCAAGGGUUCCUGUCCAACGUUAAUCGGGGCAGGGUGAGUCGACCCCUAAGGCGAGGCCGAAAGGCGUAGUCGAUGGGAAACGGGUUAAUAUUCCCGUACUUGGUGUUACUGCGAAGGGGGGACGGAGAAGGCUAUGUUGGCCGGGCGACGGUUGUCCCGGUUUAAGCGUGUAGGUGUGUGUUCCAGGUAAAUCCGGUUCACUUUAACACUGAGGCGUGACGACGAGGCACUACGGUGCUGAAGCAACAAAUGCCCUGCUUCCAGGAAAAGCCUCUAAGCAUCAGGUAACAUCAAAUCGUACCCCAAACCGACACAGGUGGUCAGGUAGAGAAUACCAAGGCGCUUGAGAGAACUCGGGUGAAGGAACUAGGCAAAAUGGUGCCGUAACUUCGGGAGAAGGCACGCUGACACGUAGGUGAAGUGAUUUACUCAUGGAGCUGAAGUCAGUCGAAGAUACCAGCUGGCUGCAACUGUUUAUUAAAAACACAGCACUGUGCAAACACGAAAGUGGACGUAUACGGUGUGACGCCUGCCCGGUGCCGGAAGGUUAAUUGAUGGGGUCAGCGCAAGCGAAGCUCCUGAUCGAAGCCCCGGUAAACGGCGGCCGUAACUAUAACGGUCCUAAGGUAGCGAAAUUCCUUGUCGGGUAAGUUCCGACCUGCACGAAUGGCGUAAUGAUGGCCAGGCUGUCUCCACCCGAGACUCAGUGAAAUUGAACUCGCUGUGAAGAUGCAGUGUACCCGCGGCAAGACGGAAAGACCCCGUGAACCUUUACUAUAGCUUGACACUGAACAUUGAGCCUUGAUGUGUAGGAUAGGUGGGAGGCUUUGAAGUGUGGACGCCAGUCUGCAUGGAGCCGACCUUGAAAUACCACCCUUUAAUGUUUGAUGUUCUAACGUGGACCCGUUACCCGGGUUGCGGACAGUGUCUGGUGGGUAGUUUGACUGGGGCGGUCUCCUCCUAAAGAGUAACGGAGGAGCACGAAGGUUGGCUAAUCCUGGUCGGACAUCAGGAGGUUAGUGCAAUGGCAUAAGCCAGCUUGACUGCGAGCGUGACGGCGCGAGCAGGUGCGAAAGCAGGUCAUAGUGAUCCGGUGGUUCUGAAUGGAAGGGCCAUCGCUCAACGGAUAAAAGGUACUCCGGGGAUAACAGGCUGAUACCGCCCAAGAGUUCAUAUCGACGGCGGUGUUUGGCACCUCGAUGUCGGCUCAUCACAUCCUGGGGCUGAAGUAGGUCCCAAGGGUAUGGCUGUUCGCCAUUUAAAGUGGUACGCGAGCUGGGUUUAGAACGUCGUGAGACAGUUCGGUCCCUAUCUGCCGUGGGCGCUGGAGAACUGAGGGGGGCUGCUCCUAGUACGAGAGGACCGGAGUGGACGCAUCACUGGUGUUCGGGUUGUCAUGCCAAUGGCACUGCCCGGUAGCUAAAUGCGGAAGAGAUAAGUGCUGAAAGCAUCUAAGCACGAAACUUGCCCCGAGAUGAGUUCUCCCUGAGACUUAGAGUCUCCUGAAGGAACGUUGAAGACGACGACGUUGAUAGGCCGGGUGUG
rnacentral:rRNA from 2 species